ACGGAGGAUCCGAGCGUUAUCCGGAUUUAUUGGGUUUAAAGGGAGCGUAGGCGGGUUGUUGAGUCAGUUGUGAAAGUUUGCGGCUCAACCGUAAAAUUGCAGUUGAUACUGGCGACCUUGAGUGCAACAGAGGUAGGCGGAAUUCGUGGUGUAGCGGUGAAAUGCUUAGAUAUCACGAAGAACUCCGAUUGCGAAGGCAGCUUACUGGAUUGUAACUGACGCUGAUGCUCGAAAGUGUGGGUAUCAAACAG
rnacentral:rRNA from 1 species